GGCUUGCUGACACGCCGAUAAAACCUUAUGAACCAGACUCCCCAGACUUUUCCUUUGCUUGUUGGACUGGACGAGACAUGGCAUUAAGAUCCAGCUGCCACUGUAAAGAGCCAGGUCCUGCUAAUUCCUGGUGGAACCUCCAUCUGUGGUGCUCUCCUGGCACUACUGUACUGCAUCAAGAGCUCCUGAGGUCACGUGCUAAAAGCAUCAUGGAAGGAGUGAUAAAAAAAAGCUGGUGCCGGGAUGAAGAAU
rnacentral:lncRNA from 1 species